UACAGAGGGGGCAAGCGUUGUUCGGAAUUACUGGGCGUAAAGGGCGUGUAGGCGGUUAGUUAAGUCUGGCGUGAAAGCUCUCGGCUAAACCGGGAGAGGUCGUCGGAUACUGGCAAACUAGAGGACGGUAGAGGCGUGUGGAAUUCCGGGUGUAGUGGUGAAAUGCGUAGAGAUCCGGAGGAACACCAGUGGCGAAGGCGACACGCUGGGCCGUACCUGACGCUAAAGCGCGACAGCAUGGGGAGCGAACGGG
rnacentral:rRNA from 1 species